AAAAAUAAAAUCAAAAACAAUAGAGCAUUAGUGCAUUAGAAAUUCCAGCAGAAAUAACGUUAAUAAUAAUCUGAACAAAGGAAACAAAAAUACCAAAAUACAAUAGCAUGCAAUAGUAUCCUACAGUAAACACAAUCAUCUACGAGUAACCCUGCUGACCCGCCCCCAACCCCGAAAGAAGCGAACGAAAAACGCUAGGGACCCCUAUCCUACAACCCUGAUUCUAGACCUCCAGACUUUCCUAUCAAGGGUCAUGUCCUCGGAAACCUGCACUAUAGCCAUGUCCUGCCUAAUCACCUCUCCCCAAUACUUCUUGGGCCUCCCUCUGCCUCGCCAACCGCCAACAAUCUCCAGCCGCUCACAGCUCCUCACCGGUGCAUCGGGACUUCUCCUCCGCACAUGCCCGAACCACCUCAGACGCGCUUCACGCAUCUUCUCGUCCACGGCCACCCCCACCUUCUCUCGAAUAAUUUCAUUCUUAAUCUUAUCUAGCCUGGUGUGCCCGCACAUCCACCUAAGCAUCCUCAUCUCNNN
rnacentral:lncRNA from 1 species